UGGGGUAGAGCUCAGUGGUAGAGCUCAUGCUUAGCAUGCACAAGGUCCUGAGUUCAAUCCCCAGUACCUCCA
rnacentral:tRNA from 1 species